rnacentral:lncRNA from 1 species
GGCCGCCCCCGUCUUUGUGAUUUUUCCUCUGUUUGCCGAAAAGGAGAUUCCCGGUCGGAAUAUUAUCGCUUUUCUACGAGAAAAAUGGCAUAAAAAUUGAUUUUAAACAGCGGUUGACAUGCUUCGAAGUACGGUAAUGGAAUAUUUAGAAUUUUUUUGUCACGAAUUUGCGCCAUGUUGCUACCCUUAUUUACCAUUUCGGAUAGUGUCUGGGACGCACGAACAAAACGCCGCUAUUCGGAUAUAACGAUGGAUUAUUUUGGACCAAACCAACAUUUGUUAUUGAAGUGGCAGUCCUGGGAGUGCAUUCUGACGAAGACAACAAAAGAGCUUCAUUUUAUCUACACCAUUUCCUUCGCCUCUCCAACCCUUCUCUCCUUUUUCUGGGCUGUGACGUGAGAGAAAAGCCAACCAACUGACUCAUCAGUUGCCAGGUAUUGAAUUGGAAGACGGGAAGCGAGGAAUUUCGCUCUAGAGGUGUUAUAGAUGGAUAUUGCUGGUAUUUCA